UACAGGGGGUGCAAACGUUGCUCGGAAUCAUUGGGCGUAAAGCGCACGUAGGCGGUCUGUUAUGUCGGAUGUGAAAUCCCCAGGCUCAACCUGGGAACUGCAUCCGAUACUGGAUGGCUUGAAUCCGGGAGAGGGAUGCAGAAUUCCAGGUGUAGCGGUGAAAUGCGUAGAUAUCUGGAGGAAUACCGGUGGCGAAGGCGGCAUCCUGGACCGGCAUUGACGCUGAGGAGCGAAAGCUAGGGGAGCAAACGGG
rnacentral:rRNA from 1 species